CUACCACGCGAGUGGAUGCCAAUCCCCAAAACCUCUCUCAGUUCGGACUGGAGUCUGCAACCCGACUCCACGAAGCUGGAUUCGCUAGUAAUCGCGCAUCAGCCACGGCGCGGUGAAUACGUUCCCGGGCCUUGUACACACCGCCCGUCAAGCCAUGGGAGCCGGGGGUACCUGAAGUGCGUAACCGCGAGGAGCGCCCUAGGGUAAAACUGGUGACUGGGGCUAAGUCGUAACAAGGUAUC
rnacentral:rRNA from 1 species